rnacentral:lncRNA from 1 species
UAUUUAUAAUUUUUUUGUUUGCAAAUAUGUCAUUUGAUUUUUUUCCAACGAAAGCCAAAUGAUCGCACCCUUAUAUUUAGAAAACACCCAUGACCAAAGAGUUAAUUUCACUUUGGACUAUUUGUGAUGACCAAAGUUGCAAAAUAGAUCAGAGAUAGGCCAACCUUUUCACUUGACACUGAUUAAAAUCCAUUGCGAGAGGUGUCCACCACCACUGUGCUUUACACCAACUAGUGACUGUCUAUCAACAUUAGAAGAGCUAACGAUGAAUAUAAUGACACCAUCUCUAUAUGAAACUCCUGCUAUUGAAGAAGCAGGAACUCUGUGACCAAAGAUGACUAGAGGUAUACAAGUUAGAUGCAUGGAUAGUAACGAAGACCAUAGCUGCUGAAAACUGUUGGCACUCUGCCAAAGAUAAAGAGGAAAAAAUACGAAAGUAUGCCUUGAUAUGAUGAACAAUAUUAUGAUCAAGCAUUUUCCACAACCGAGAAAAACAAGUCUGAUUCAACUAUAUCAGGAGAGGAGGAAGACAGAAAUUUGGGGAAAUGCACGAGGUGGUCUAAAACAUAUUAAAACAUUGGCUUGGACUAGAAGAGGAUAAAUCUAUGUUGACCUAACUAUUUUUAAGUCCAUGUUCAAUUGUACACUCCAAACAUACCCAAUUGGCUUACUUGAAUAGGACCAACCCUACGUUAACUAGCUCGUACAACUCUGAUACACAAUCUGGGAAGCAAAAACUGUCAUACUGAUCCUUCUCAAUUUCUUGGACUGGUCAUGGCCGUCAAUGCUUAUCUAUAGCCAACUAGUGCUAGCUAUAAUUCAUCUUUGAGCUAUUUAUUUUUCUAGUAUGUCGUAGUAUAUCUACCAAGACAAAAAUGUGGGAUAACCUUCAGAUCCUGAUGCUUCCCAAUCAUAUCCUCUAAGAUCAUGUUGUAGGAGUAUGUAUGCAUUCCCAUCC